UACGUAGGCAGCGAGCGUUGUUCGGAAUUACUGGGCGUAAAGAGUGUGUAGGCGGUGCUCCCAGUCUGUUGUGAAAUCUCCCGGCUUAACUGGGAGGGUGCAGCGGAAACUAGAGUACUAGAGGGUGGGAGAGGUAAGCGGAAUUCCUGGUGUAGCGGUGAAAUGCGUAGAUAUCAGGAGGAACACCUGUGGUGUAGACAGCUUACUGGACCACUUCUGACGCUGAGACACGAAAGCGUGGGUAGCAAACAGG
rnacentral:rRNA from 1 species